UUGCAGUUAAAAAGCUCGUAGUUGGAUUUCUGCGGGGGCGGGGCGGCCGGUUGCUUAUAGCAACUCGAGCUAGCACUUCCCCUGCAUCCUGCCGCGAACCGUGCUACCAUUAGUUUGGUGGCGCCGGGGAUCGGCUCGUUUACUCUGAGAAAAAUAGAGUGUUCAAAGCAGGCCACACGCCUUGAAUAAGUUAGCAUGGAAUAAUGAUAAAGGACUUCGGUUCUAUUUUGUUGGUGUUCGGGACUGAAGUAAUGAUUGAUAGGGACAGUUGGGGCGGUCCGUAUUCCAAAGCGAGAGGUGAAAUUCUUAGACCUUCGGAAGACGAACAGCUGCGAAAGCGUUCCGCAAGGAUGUUCCCUUUGAUCAAGAACGAAAGUUGGGGGAUCGAAGACGAUCAGAUACCGUCGUAGUCUCAACUAUAAACUAUACCAGCUAGGGAUCGGCCAACGUUUACUUACACCGACUUGGUCGGCACCUUAUGAGAAAUCAAAGCAUCUGGGUUCCGGGGGGAGUAUGGUCGCAAAGGCUGAAACCUUAAAGGAAUUGACGGAAGGGCACCACCAGCCGUGGAGCCUU
rnacentral:rRNA from 1 species